GACGAACGCUGGCGGCGUGCUUAACACAUGCAAGUCGAACGGAAAGGCCCUGCUUUUGUGGGGUGCUCGAGUGGCGAACGGGUGAGUAACACGUGAGUAACCUGCCCUUGACUUUGGGAUAACUUCAGGAAACUGGGGCUAAUACCGGAUAGGAGCUCCUGCUGCAUGGUGGGGGUUGGAAAGUUUCGGCGGUUGGGGAUGGACUCGCGGCUUAUCAGCUUGUUGGUGGGGUAGUGGCUUACCAAGGCUUUGACGGGUAGCCGGCCUGAGAGGGUGACCGGCCACAUGGGGACUGAGAUACGGCCCAGACUCCUACGGGAGGCAGCAGGGGGGAAUAUUGCGCAAUGGGCGGGAGCCAGAGGCAGCAACGCCGCGUGCGGGAUGACGGCCUUCGGGUGGUGAACCGCUUUCGCCUGUGACGAAGCGUGAGUGACGGUAAUGGGUAAAGAAGCACCGGCUAACUACGUG
rnacentral:rRNA from 1 species